rnacentral:rRNA from 1 species
UUUACGGGAGGCAGCAGUGAGGAAUAUUGGUCAAUGGGCGCUAGCCUGAACCAGCCAAGUAGCGUGAAGGAUGACUGCCCUAUGGGUUGUAAACUUCUUUUAUAUGGGAAUAAAGUGCAGUAUGUAUACUGCUUGCAUUCCAAGAAA